rnacentral:rRNA from 1 species
GAUGAACGCUGGCGGCGUGCCUAAUACAUGCAAGUCGAGCGAAGCGGCGGAUGGGUUAGUAACGCGUGGGUAACCUGCCCUUAAGUCUGGGAUACCAUUUUGAAACAGAUGCUAAUACCCGAUACUAAAGGAUGGACCUGCGAUGCAUUAGCUAGUUGGUAAGGUAACGGCUUACCAAGGCGAUGAUGCAUAGCCGAGUUGAGAGAUUGAGCGGCCACAUUGGGACUGAGACACGGCCCCAACUCCUAAGGGAGGCAGCAGUAGGGAAUCUUCCACAAUGGACGAAAGUCUGAUGGAGCAACGCCGCGUGAGUGAAGAAGGUGUUCGGAUCGUAAAGCUCUGUUGUUGGUGAAGCGGUAAUCAACCAGAAAGUCACGGCUAACUACGUGCCAGCAGCCGCGGUAAUAC